GACGAACGCUGGCGGCGUGCUUAACACAUGCAAGUCGAACGGAAAGGCCCUGCUUGCAGGGUACUCGAGUGGCGAACGGGUGAGUAACACGUGGGUGAUCUGCCCUGCACUUCGGGAUAAGCCUGGGAAACUGGGUCUAAUACCGGAUAGGAGCCAUUUUUAGUGUGAUGGUUGGAAAGUUUUUUCGGUGUAGGAUGAGCUCGCGGCCUAUCAGCUUGUUGGUGGGGUAAUGGCCUACCAAGGCGGCGACGGGUAGCCGGCCUGAGAGGGUGGACGGCCACAUUGGGACUGAGAUACGGCCCAGACUCCUACGGGAGGCAGCAGUGGGGAAUAUUGCACAAUGGGCGCCAGCCUGAUGCAGCGACGCCGCGUGGGGGAUGACGGCCUUCGGGUUGUAAACUCCUUUCGCUAGGGACGAAGCUUUUUGUGACGGUACCUAGAUAAGAAGCACCGGCUAACUACGUG
rnacentral:rRNA from 1 species